rnacentral:lncRNA from 1 species
UGAACUGAACUGCACGAGGCAUUGUAAAAUGUGUACACAAGAUUUUUGUAUUUCUUGAAAUGACAUAUUAUCUUCUAUUAUUAUUGUCAUAAAUGAUAUAGUUAUUGUUGUCAUAAAUUGUUGUCAUAAAUAGUAUAAUUAUUGAAUAUACUUAUAUAAAUAGUGUUGCAUUGAUUUUUGACAGGCUGAUAAUUUUAUACAAGCUAAAGACGACCAUUUUUUAAAUAUAAUUUUACUUUAGUGCUCUACCAACAAUCAUAAAUUUACUUUAUCUACAAUAAAAUAUGGUUUUAACUU